GACGAACGCUGGCGGCGCGCCUAAUACAUGCAAGUCGAGCGAGAAGACGUAGCAAUACGUUUGUAAAGCGGCGAACGGGUGAGGAAUACAUGGGUAACCUACCCUAGAGUGGGGAAUAACUAGCCGAAAGGUUAGCUAAUACCGCGUACGCUCCUUGGACUUCGGUUCAGGGAGGAAAGCGAUACCGAGGGUAUCGCGCUCUUGGAUGGGCUCAUGUCCUAUCAGCUUGUUGGGAGGUAACGGCUCACCAAGGCUUCGACGGGUAGCUGGUCUGAGAGGACGAUCAGCCACACUGGCACUGCGACACGGGCCAGACUCCUACGGGAGGCAGCAGUAAGGAAUAUUGCGCAAUGGGCGAAAGCCUGACGCAGCGACGCCGCGUGGGGGAUGAA
rnacentral:rRNA from 1 species